AUGUCUGCUGACUGCUGUAAACCAGUAAACGUAAACUAAACUGUGUUAAAAACAGAUGAUUGUUAACCGGGUUAAUUAUAAAUUUAACUGUUGUGUGUGAAUGAAUACGAUAUAAACAUAAUUCUGUGUAAUUGGCUUCUUCGUGAUUGUAAUGUUACUCAGAUGGUAAAGGACCAUUCAGAAGAUAAACAUAGGACUAUUGUACGUUUUAGAGAUGCCGUACUAUGCUGUGGCUGUGGGGAAAAACCCGGGAGUUUAUAAAACCUGGGAAGAAUGUCAGAAUCAGACCAAAGGAUAUCCACAAGCCAAAUACAGGAAAUUCAACACGGAAAACUGAAGCUAGUAAUUUU